rnacentral:rRNA from 1 species
CGGCGCACAUAAGACAUGCAAGUCGAACGGACUAACUUCUAGCUUGCUAGAAGAGCGGUUAGUGGCGGACUGGUGAGUAACACGUAAGAAAUCUGCCUAUCAGAGGGGAAUAACAGUGAGAAAUCAUUGCUAAUACCGCAUAUGCCAUAAUCAUCGCAUGAUGAUAGUGGGAAAGAAGCAAUUCGCUGAUAGAUGAGCUUGCGGCUGAUUAGCUAGUUGGUGGGGCAACGGCCUACCAAGGCGACGAUCAGUAGCCGGACUGAGAGGUUGAACGGCCACAUUGGGACUGAGAUACGGCCCAGACUCCUACGGGAGGCAGCAGUCGGGAAUAUUGCGCAAUGGAGGCAACUCUGAACCGCAGUGACGCCGCGUAUAGGAAGAAGGUUUUCGGAUUGUAAACUAUUGUCCACAGGGAAGAUAAAAGACUGUACCUGUGAAGAAAGCUCCGGCUAACUACGUGCCAGCAGCCGC